UANAGUUUGAUCAUGGCUCAGAGUGAACGCUGGCGGUAGGCCUAACACAUGCAAGUCGAACGGCAGCACAGGAGAGCUUGCUCUCUGGGUGGCGAGUGGCGGACGGGUGAGGAACACAUCGGAAUCUACUUUUUCGUGGGGGAUAACGUAGGGAAACUUACGCUAAUACCGCAUACGACCUACGGGUGAAAGCAGGGGAUCUUCGGACCUUGCGCGAUUGAAUGAGCCGAUGUCGGAUUAGCUAGUUGGCGGGGUAAAGGCCCACCAAGGCGACGAUCCGUAGCUGGUCUGAGAGGAUGAUCAGCCACACUGGAACUGAGACACGGUCCAGACUCNUACGGGAGGCAGCAGUGGGGAAUAUUGGACAAUGGGCGCAAGCCUGAUCCAGCCAUACCGCGUGGGUGAAGAAGGCCUUCGGGUUGUAAAGCCCUUUUGUUGGGAAAGAAAUCCAGCUGGCUAAUACCCGGUUGGGAUGACGGUACCCAAAGAAUAAGCACCGGCUACUUCGUGCCAGCAGCCGCGGUAAUACGAAGGGUGCAAGCGUU
rnacentral:rRNA from 1 species